rnacentral:rRNA from 1 species
CGCGCAGGCGGCCUCUUAAGUCUGAUGUGAAAGCCCCCGGCUCAACCGGGAGGGCCAUUGGAAACUGGGAGGCUUGAGUAUAGGAGAGAAGAGUGGAAUUCCACGUGUAGCGGUGAAAUGCGUAGAGAUGUGGAGGAACACCAGUGGCGAAGGCGACUCUUUGGCCUAUAACUGACGCUGAGGCGCGAAAGCGUGGGGAGCAAACA